rnacentral:rRNA from 1 species
UACAGAGGUCUCAAGCGUUGUUCGGAAUCACUGGGCGUAAAGGGUGCGUAGGCCGCACGGUAAGUCAGAUGUGAAAGCCCGGAGCUCAACUCCGGAACUGCAUCCGAUACUGCCGUGCUUGAGGACUGGAGAGGAGUCUGGAAUUCACAGUGGAGCAGUGAAAUGCGUAGAUAUUGUGAGGAACACUAGUGGCGAAGGCGAGACUCUGGACAGUUCCUGACGCUGAGGCACGAAGGCCAGGGGGAGCAAACGGGG